rnacentral:rRNA from 1 species
GAUGAACGCUGGCGGCGUGCCUAAUACAUGCAAGUCGAGCGAACAGACGAGGAGCUUGCUCCUCUGACGUUAGCGGCGGACGGGUGAGUAACACGUGGAUAACCUACCUAUAAGACUGGGAUAACUUCGGGAAACCGGAGCUAAUACCGGAUAAUAUAUUGAACCGCAUGGUUCAAUAUUGAAAGACGGUUUUGCUUUAACUAAAAGUUGGAUCCGCGCCGCAUUAGCUAGUUGGUAAGGUAACGGCUUACCAAGGCGACGAUGCGUAGCCGACCUGAGAGGGUGAUCGGCCACACUGGAACUGAGACACGGUCCAGACUCCUACGGGAGGCAGCAGUAGGGAAUCUUCCGCAAUGGGCGAAAGCCUGACGGAGCAACGCCGCGUGAGUGAUGAAGGUCUUCGGAUCGUAAAACUCUGUUAUUAGGGAAGAACAAAUGUGUAAGUAACUAUGCACGUCUUGACGGUACCUAAUCAGAAAGCCACGGCUAACUACGUG